rnacentral:rRNA from 1 species
UACGUAGGGAGCAAGCGUUGUCCGGAAUCAUUGGGCGUAAAGCGCGCGUAGGUGGCCUCAUAAGUCCGCUGUGAAAGUCAAAGGCUCAACCUUUGAAAGCCGGUGGAUACUGUGAGGCUAGGAGUACGGAAGAGGCGAGUGGAAUUCCUGGUGUAGCGGUGGAAUGCGCAGAUAUCAGGAGGAACACCAAUAGCGAAGGCAGCUCGCUGGGACGUUACUGACACUGAGGCGCGAAAGCGUGGGGAGCGAACAGG